GUCUAUGGUCAUACCACCUUGAACAUAGCCUAUCUCAUCUGACCUCAGAAGCUUAGCAGGGUUGGGCCUAGUUAGUACUUGAAUGGGAGACAUCCUGGAAAUACCGAGUGCUGUCGUCU
ensembl:rRNA 5S_rRNA 5S ribosomal RNA